GAGCUAUACUGCUCUCUUAGAGUUUUUCUAGCAGGUUUUCUAAUUUUGGUCAUAGAAAUCCAUG